CCAAACUUGGUCAUUUAGAGGAAGUAAAAGUCGUAACAAGGUUUCCGUAGGUGAACCUGCGGAAGGAUCAUUAACACGUAUCCACGUAUCAACCCCUCGUGCAAACUACAACGUAAAGGUUGGUCUAGUCUACUUGCUCGCAUAGGUUCUAACGAUGGCGGGGUCGCCCCUCGGGGAGGCCUCGGGAGCCUGAGCGGGUAGGCGUUUUGACGACUGGCCGGCAUUUUCCCAUCGUUGGGAUGCCUACUCAUUUUUAACCCCUUUGUACUUCUUUGUACUGAACCUAUUCUUUCGGAGCUCGAAAGGGCGACGAAGAGAACAAUACGAAACAAAAGAACAACUCUUAGCAACGGAUAUCUUGGUUCUCGCAUCGAUGAAGAACGCAGC
rnacentral:misc_RNA from 1 species